rnacentral:rRNA from 1 species
GACGAACGCUGGCGGCGUGCUUAACACAUGCAAGUCGAACGGAAAGGCCUUUUCGGAGGUACUCGAGUGGCGAACGGGUGAGUAACACGUGGGUGAUCUGCCCUGCACUCUGGGAUAAGCCUGGGAAACUGGGUCUAAUACCGGAUAGGACCGCACUUUAGUGUGUGUGGGGGAAAGUUUUUUCGGUGUAGGAUGAGCCCGCGGCCUAUCGGCUUGUUGGUGGGGUAAUGGCCUACCAAGGCGGCGACGGGUAGCCGGACUGAGAGGUUGGUCGGCCACACUGGGACUGAGAUACGGCCCAGACGCCUACGGGAGGCAGCAGUGGGGAAUCUUGCACAAUGGGCGCAAGCCUGAUGCAGCGACGCCGCGUGGGGGAUGACGGCCUUCGGGUUGUAAACUCCUUGCGCCAGGGACGAAGCGUUUUGUGACGGUACCUGGAGAAGAAGCACCGGCUAACUACGUG